GACGAACGCUGGCGGCGUGCUUAACACAUGCAAGUCGAACGGAAAGGCCCUGCUUUUGUGGGGUGCUCGAGUGGCGAACGGGUGAGUAACACGUGAGUAACCUGCCCUUGACUUUGGGAUAACUUCAGGAAACUGGGGCUAAUACCGGAUAGGAGCUCCUGCUGCAUGGUGGGGGUUGGAAAGUUUCGGCGGUUGGGGAUGGACUCGCGGCUUAUCAGCUUGUUGGUGGGGUAGUGGCUUACCAAGGCUUUGACGGGUAGCCGGCCUGAGAGGGUGAACGGCCACAUUGGGACUGAGAUACGGCCCAGACUCCUACGGGAGGCAGCAGUGGGGAAUAUUGCACAAUGGGCGGAAGCCUGAUGCAGAAACGCCGCGUGCGGGAUGACGGCCUUCGGGUUGUAAACCGCUUUAGCCUGUGACGAAGCGUGAGUGACGGUAAUGGGUAAAGAAGCACCGGCUAACUACGUG
rnacentral:rRNA from 1 species